rnacentral:lncRNA from 1 species
GAUUAUCUGACAUUUAGAUCCUGUUAUCUCCGUUUCCAGAGUAGGGUCUGCAAUUCAAAUUAAAGCCAUGAAACAAGUAGCUGGUAAAUUAAAAUUGGAACUGGCGCAAUUCAUAGAAUUAGAAGCCUUUGCACAAUUUGCUUCGGAUCUCGAUAAAGCUACUCAGAAUCAAUUGGCAAGAGGUCAACGAUUACGUGAAUUGCUUAAACAAUCCCAAGCAGCUCCUCUUGCGGUAGAAGAACAGAUAAUGAGCUUUUUUCAUCCAAAAAACAAUCAAUUUUUGAC